GGCUCUUGGCGGUGGAUCACUCGGCUCGUGAGUCGAUGAAGGACGCAGCUAGCUGCGUGAUUUAGUGUGAAUUGCAGGACACA
rfam:Ciona savignyi cont_39834, whole genome shotgun sequence.